rnacentral:rRNA from 1 species
UACGUAGGGGGCAAGCGUUGUCCGGAUUCAUUGGGCGUAAAGAGCGUGUAGGCGGCCAGGUAGGUCGGUUGUGAAAACUGGAGGCUCAACCUUCAGAGGUCGACCGAAACCAUCUGGCUAGAGUCCGGGAGAGGAGAGUGGAAUUCCGAGUGUAGAGGUGAAAUUCGUAGAUAUUCGGAAGAACACCAGUGGCGAAGGCGGCUCACUGGACUGGUAUUGACGCUGAGGUGCGAAAGCGUGGGGAGCAAACAGG